rnacentral:rRNA from 1 species
UACGUAGGGUCCGAGCGUUGUCCGGAAUUACUGGGCGUAAAGAGCUCGUAGGUGGUUUGUCGCGUUGUUCGUGAAAACUCACAGCUCAACUGUGGGCGUGCGGGCGAUACGGGCAGACUGGAGUACUGCAGGGGAGACUGGAAUUCCUGGUGUAGCGGUGGAAUGCGCAGAUAUCAGGAGGAACACCGGUGGCGAAGGCGGGUCUCUGGGCAGUAACUGACGCUGAUGCGCGAAAGCCAGGGGAGCGAACGGG